UUGAAGGCAGCGAUCCCCUUCUACUCCAAAAUUUACCAAUAAUUAUAACUAAUUUUAAAUUGAAUGAUUCUUAGUUUGUUGCAAGGUUAAUCUAAAGAUGCUCUUAUUUUAAUAAAUCUUGUUAUGAUCUAAUAAUCCAAUCAUGAGAAUUUCUCCUUUCAAGUUGAGUAAUUCAAAUUUCUAUGGCAUCCAAUCUCCUUCACUCAGAAAUUAGCUAAAAAUCCAAAUUAUCUUCAAAAUCUCAAAAAACUUGUGCUUUUCAAAGCUUAGCUUACAAAGCUCAACACAUCCAAAAUUUUAAAUAAAUAAAAUUAUAAGGCAUUGAGAAAU
rnacentral:lncRNA from 1 species